rnacentral:rRNA from 1 species
GACGAACGCUGGCGGCGUGCUUAACACAUGCAAGUCGAGCGGAAAGGCCCUUCGGGGUACUCGAGCGGCGAACGGGUGAGUAACACGUGAGUAACCUGCCCCAGACUUUGGGAUAACCCUCGGAAACGGGGGCUAAUACCGGAUACGACUCAGCUUCGCAUGGGGUCUGUGUGGAAAGUUUUUCGGUUUGGGAUGGGCUCGCGGCCUAUCAGCUUGUUGGUGGGGUGAUGGCCUACCAAGGCGACGACGGGUAGCCGGCCUGAGAGGGCGACCGGCCACACUGGGACUGAGACACGGCCCAGACUCCUACGGGAGGCAGCAGUGGGGAAUAUUGCACAAUGGGCGGAAGCCUGAUGCAGCGACGCCGCGUGAGGGAUGACGGCCUUCGGGUUGUAAACCUCUUUCAGCAGGGACGAAGCGUAAGUGACGGUACCUGCAGAAGAAGCGCCGGCCAACUACGUG